AGAGUUUGAUCCUGGCUCAGAACGAACGCUGGCGGCGUGGAUAAGACAUGCAAGUCGAACGAUCACUAUUGGGUAGCAAUAUUCGGUAGUGGGAGUGGCGCAAGGGUGCGUAACACGUGGGUAAUUUGCCGUAAAGUCUGGGAUAACUUGCUGAAAGGCGAGCUAAUACCGGAUGUGAUUGCUGGAGGGCAUCCUCUGGCACUUAAAGUCGGGGACCGUAAGGCCUGACACUUUUCGAUAAGCCCGCGGCCUAUCAGCUAGUUGGUGAGGUAACGGCUCACCAAGGCUAAGACGGGUAGCUGGUCUGAGAGGACGACCAGCCUCACUGGAACUGAGACACGGUCCAGACACCUACGGGUGGCAGCAGUCGAGAAUUUUUCUCAAUGGGGGAAACCCUGAAGGAGCGACGCCGCGUGGGGGRUGAAUGGCUUCGGCCCGUAAACCCCUGUCAUUUGCGAUCAAACCUUACGACCUAACACGUCGURAGCUGAUAGUAGCGRAAGAGGAAGGGACGGCUAACUCUGUGCCAGCAGCCGCGGUAAUACAGAGGUCCCAAGCGUUGUUCGGAUUCACUGGGCGUAAAGGGUGCGUAGGCGGUCGGGUAAGUCUGACGUGAAAUCUUCAAGCUCAACUUGGAAACUGCGUCGGAUACUAUUCGGCUMGAGGAAUGGAGGGGAGACUGGAAUACUUGGUGUAGCAGUGAAAUGCGUAGAUAUCAAGUGGAACACCAGUGGCGAAGGCGAGUCUCUGGACAUUUCCUGACGCUGAGGCACGAAAGCCAGGGGAGCAAACGGGAUUAGAUACCCUGGUAGUCC
rnacentral:rRNA from 1 species